rnacentral:rRNA from 1 species
ACGAACGCUGGCGGCGCGCCUAACACAUGCACGUCGAACGAGCGAGAGAGAGCUUGCUUUCUCGAGCGAGUGGCGAACGGGUGAGUAACGCGUGAGGAACCUGCCUCAAAGAGGGGGACAACAGUUGGAAACGACUGCUAAUACCGCAUAAGCCCACGGCUCGGCAUCGAGCAGGGGGAAAAGGAGCAAUCCGCUUUGAGAUGGCCUCGCGUCCGAUUAGCUAGUUGGUGAGGUAACGGCCCACCAAGGCGACGAUCGGUAGCCGGACUGAGAGGUUGAACGGCCACAUUGGGACUGAGACACGGCCCAGACUCCUACGGGAGGCAGCAGUGGGGAAUAUUGCACAAUGGGGGAAACCCUGAUGCAGCGACGCCGCGUGGAGGAAGAAGGUCUUCGGAUUGUAAACUCCUGUUGUUGGGGAAGAUAAUGACGGUACCCAACAAGGAAGUGACGGCUAACUACGUG